GGAAGCGCAUCGGGGCUGGUGUCCUGCGCGGACUUCAAAUCCGUUGGGAGCCGGGGGAACCCGGCUCCGGUGGGUUCGAUUCCCACACGCUUCC
rnacentral:tRNA from 1 species